rnacentral:rRNA from 1 species
ACUCCUACGGGAGGCAGCAGUAGGGAAUAUUGGUCAAUGGGCGCAAGCCUGAACCAGCCAUGCCGCGUGCAGGAAGACUGCCUUAUGGGUUGUAAACUGCUUUUAUAUGGGAAAGAAACCCCUCUACGUGUAGAGGCUUGGACGGUACCAUAAGAAUAAGCACCGGCUAACUCCGUGCCAGCAGCCGCGGUAAUACGGAGGGUGCGAGCGUUAAUCGGAAUUACUGGGCGUAAAGCGCAUGCAGGUGGUUUGUUAAGUCAGAUGUGAAAGCCCGGGGCUUAACCUCGGAAUUGCAUUUGAAACUGGCAGGCUAGAGUCUUGUAGAGGGGGGUGAGAAUUUCAGGUGUAGCGGUGAAAUGCGUAGAGAUCUGAAGGAAUACCAGUGGCGAAGGCGGCCCCCUC